AAAAAAGCAGUGCCUUUUUGUCUUUUGUGAAAAGGGCUCUCGUAAAUGUCAGGAAAAAUACUUGCAUUGUUAUUGGGUGAACCUCUGUAGUUGUUAGUGACUGAAGGUUCAGUAAAUGAUGCCACAUAU